UUCUGGUUGAUCCUGCCAGAGGCGACCGCUUUUGGAGUUCGAUUAAGCCAUGCGAGUCGAGAGCCUUAGGGGCUCGGCAUACUGCUCAGUAACACGUGGAUAACCUGCCCUAUUGUCUGGAAUAACCUCGGGAAACUGAGAACAAGGCCGGAUAACCCACUAUGCCUGGAACGGUUUGUGGGUGAAGAUAGGAUGGGUCUGCGGCGUAUCAGGUCGUAGGGGGUGUAAUGGACCUCCUAGCCAUCGACGCGUACGGGUGUUGGGAGACAUAGCCCGGAGAUGGAUUCUGAGACACGAAUCCAGACCCUACGGGGUGCAGCAGGCGCGAAAACUUCACACUGCAGGAAACUGUGAUGAGGGAACUCCAAGUGCAUUCACUAUGUGGAUGCUUUUUUUGACUAUUAAUCGGUCAACGAAUAAGGGCUGGGAAAGACCGGUGCCAGCCGCCGCGGUAAUACCGGCAGCUCAAGUGGUCGUCGCUUUUAUUGGACCUAAAACGUCCGUAGCCUGUUUGGUAAAUCUGUGGGUAAAUCAACCAGCUUAACUGGUUGAAUUCUGCAGAGACUGCCAGACUAGGGACCGGGAGAGGUGUGGGGUACUCUAGGGGUAGGGGUAAAAUCCUGUCAUCCUUAGAGGACCACCAGUUGCGAAGGCGCCACACUGGAACGGAUCCGACGGUCAGGGACGAAGCCUAGGGGCACGAACCGGAUUAGAUACCCGGGUAGUCCUAGGUGUAAACGCUGUGAACUUGGUG
rnacentral:rRNA from 1 species